UUACCCACGCCCCCACGAUUGGAUCUCCCUCUCUCCCCCUCAUGUUGGGAGCUGCAGAUUGACCUUAAGGGGGGGUUGAUGGGGAGCUGGCACGGAAAGCAGUUUUGGUCUGCUGGGGAGUUUGACGGUCUGGGGUGACUGGGAGCUCAGAGGAGAGGCUGGAGCAGGAGAAGGAGUGGCCGUUCCAAAGGGCAGAGCAGACUGCAGCCAGAAAGGACUCACAUCCCACAUGCAGUCCCUCCAGACCUCCAGUCCAUGGACCUAUCUGCUAACUCCGUCCAGUUCUUACAACCGCUCCCUGGGAGAUUUUCAGGUUUACUCCACCUCAACCUAUCAGCGGUUACCUAGGUGACAGUCUCGGUGCUCCCGCUGACUGGCCUGGAGGAUCGAACAUCCGGUCAGGUGACUGCAAGCCGAGCCAGAAGUGAGGGACCCGGGAACCGAGCGGCGGCGCGUCAGGUACGGCUGGAGGUGUCGCUAGAACAGCGGUUACCUAGGUGACAGUCUCGGCGCCUCCGCUGACUGGCCUGGAGGAUCGAACAUCCGGUCAGGUGACUGCAAGCCAAGCUGGAAGUGAGGGACCCGGGAACAGAGCGGCGGCGCAUCAGGGAUGGCUGGAGGUGUCGCUAGAACAGGUGAUCCUGGGUAUGGCUGUUUCUACUGGCAUCUGACUCCAUUGUCACUUCCAGAUUCCACUGCUGAGCACAAGUAUAAUGUUGCACAUAAGGCCACUAGGUCAGUGAUAGAUGUUUUGGUCUAUUAAAAUCUCGGCUCCAUUGAUUGGACCAUUCUAUUAGCAUUUUGUUGUAUUCCCCUUUAAAAAUAUCUGACACUGUGUCUGUGUAUUUAUUUCAAACCAAUACAACAGUAAUUGUUAAUUUUUUUAAA